AUGCCCCCCGACCCUCCCACACCUCCUCCUCCCCUUGCCCCCUCUCGCGCCGGGGCUGACGGCCCCUUCUCUGUCUCGCAGGGCAAGGUGGUGCCGGACGAGUACGACGAGCGCUCCUACUGCCUCUACGACACCGGCGCCUCCACCGUCUACGACGUUUGCGCCUUCUUCGUGCUCCUCCUUGCGCAGCUACUGGUCUCCGGCGUCACCCGCUGCCUCUGCUUCACCGUCUCCUGGUGA
rnacentral:rRNA from 1 species